rnacentral:lncRNA from 1 species
CGCUCCGUCACGCGACACCACGAUUGCUCGGAGGCAACUUUGAGAGUAUUACUAUCCGUGUGUUCCAAUACUCCCCGUAGACGGUUAAAUAGACAGCUAAAUGGACGGCGGCCAUCUUAAGUCCCAUUCCAAUUGUUCACGAAUCACGUCGCAGACAAAGUAGACAGCUCGGAGAAGACCGCACCGUAGACAAAUACGAUGCAGGCUAGUUUGCUGUCUAAACAAGAUGGCGGGUGACGCGGGAAGUUCGUCUGCUUCGUCGUCGCAGCUCCUCGUUCCUACCGAGGCUCCCGCGUUCAAGUAAAAAUAAUUCAAGAUCUGGACUUGCAUGGAGCCACGCCCGAACAGUGCCGCAAGAAGUGGCUCAACUUGAUGAAAAAAGUAUAAGGACCUGAAGAACCCACCCACAGGAGCUGGCAACGAAGCAGAAGAACUGACGUGGCCUUUUUAUGAUGUGAUGGACGCAGUGAUGUCUGGAAGACCAAUAAUAACACCGCCGCGACUGGUCGCGUCAGCGCUUGCUGAUGAAAGUCCGGAAAGCCCAGAGGACAGUAACGAUCAUCAACCCCGGGAGGCGAAGCGACAGCGAUGGAAAGAGAGGCCGAAGCCGUAAAACAGAAGCGAUGUGAUGGAGCGCAACCUAACGAAUGUAGAAAGGCAAACGGAACUGAUGGGGAGAAUGUUUGAUUUUUUUAUGAGGCGCGCAAGUAACGAUCAGUUUCUUUUUUUUUGUCUUUAAGUAACAUUUGAGUAGCAUAGGACAGGGUUAAAAUUCACAAUUAUUGGUUACAUUCAUUAAUACACUUUACAUAUGUACAUGUUUCAUAGUUAAAUAAAAAAUUCUGCAGCUUGCAUACAAUCAA